GGGCUUGGAUCCGCCCCAUAUAUCCUUUACGCUGCGUGGCCACGCCCACCGAUCGUUCUAAUAAGUCACCUUCAAAGUAGGAGGCCCGAAACUGGCCAAUCACAGGCUGGCUUGUGUUUGCGUAACAAAAUCGUGUACGAGGGUCGAACUCAAGCUGGUCGUACGGGCGCGUGGAGUCGCCGCGCGCGCGUAUAGCUUCAGUAGCGUCGGCUAAACAUUACAGGGAUAUAAAGUUAUAUGUAUGUGGGUCAUACGUGUAGAAACGUUACACUCACGUUUAAUAGAGAGUUGUUUUCUCUCCUUCCAUUAUAAAUGACAUGUGUCGUGUGUAGAUUUAUUACAGCAGAGCGCUAACAGGGCUUAUGUUUCUUUCACACUGACCAGUAUUGGAUGAAUGGGUUCCAGUGAGCAAGGCACUGUUCCUGUGGUUGCUAACAUUUCACUACUGAAUGUAUUUAUUAUUAAGGACUGGGUUUUACUUGCCCAGAUGGCGCUGUGAUGCAAAAUGACAAUUCAAGGCAUUUCCAGCAAUCAUCCCAUGUCUUCCCAUAUAGUUUUAAUUUUUUAAAAUAGUGUAUAUACUGUUGCCAUGUAAUGUGUGUUCAGGGUAUGUGGUGCUCUUGAUCUACUCCUGCUACUGAGUCUGUUCCAGUGAUCUCUGCUCCACUCAAGGGCACGUGGGUUCACUAUAUGGUCUGAUGAGGAUGAAAAUGAUGUAAAUCAUACGCUAUGGCCUUCACUCAUUGGAUCUUAACCCAGUUGAACACCUGUGGGAGAUUUUGGAGCGAUGUUAGACAGCUAACCACCAUCAUCAACACACCAAUUAAGAGGAUAUCUUUUGGAAAAAUUGUGUUCAACCCUCCAGUACUCUGAAACUGUUCUAAAACUACCAAAGCUUACUGAAGCUGUUCUGAUGACUCAUGGUGAUCUAUCACCUUACAAAGACUUUAUGUUGUUUUUCCAUUUAAUUUCUAUAUUAAAUAUGCAUAUUUAUCCAUAUAUGUACAUAUAAGUGCAUGUGUUUUAGGAAGUAUUGUUUUAAUACCUAGAGAUUCUGCAUUUAAUGAGUCAAAAUAAAUUUCUGUGGAAGAUCAUAAUAAACAGUGAUAUUAAAUCA